GGAGGAAAAGAAACCAACAGGGAUUGCCUCAGUAACGGCGAGUGAAGCGGCAAUAGCUCAAAUUUGAAAUCUGGAGCCUUCGGCUUCCGAGUUGUAAUUUGAAGAGGAUGUUUCGGUUGCGGCCACGGCCCAAGUUCCUUGGAACAGGACGUCAUGGAGGGUGAGAAUCCCGUACCUGGCUGUUGGCUUGCUUCCAUGUGAAACUCCUUCGAAGAGUCGAGUUGUUUGGGAAUGCAGCUCAAAAUGGGUGGUAAAUUUCAUCUAAAGCUAAAUAUUGGCGGGAGACCGAUAGCGCACAAGUAGAGUGAUCGAAAGAUGAAAAGCACUUUGAAAAGAGAGUUAAACAGUACGUGAAAUUGUUGAAAGGGAAGCGCUUGCAAUCAGACUCGCUUUCGGUUGAUCAACGUUCCUUCUGGUUCGUGCACUCUGCCGUUGGCGGGCCAGCAUCAGCUGGGGCGGUGGGACAAAGACUUCAGGAAUGUGGCUCUCUUCGGGGAGUGUUAUAGCCUGUUGUGCAAUGCCACCAGUCCCGGCUGAGGUCCGCGGUUUAUCCUAGGAUGCUGGCUUAAUGGUUGUAAGCGACCCGUCUUGAAACACGGACCAAGGAGUCUAACAUCUAUGCGAGUCUUUGGGUGUCAAACCCAUGGGCGUAAUGAAAGUGAACGGAGGUGGGAGUCUUCGGAUGCACCAUCGACCGAUCCUGAUGUUCUCGGAUGGAUUUGAGUAGGAGCAUAGCUGUUGGGACCCGAAAGAUGGUGAACUAUGCCUGAAUAGGGUGAAGCCAGAGGAAACUCUGGUGGAGGCUCGCAGCGGUUCUGACGUGCAAAUCGAUCGUCAAAUUUGGGUAUAGGGGCGAAAGACUAAUCGAACCAUCUAGUAGCUGGUUCCUGCCGAAG
rnacentral:rRNA from 1 species